ncrna:unclassified sequences RAGATH-18 RNA
ACUGUGGAGUGUACAAGAACCUGUUAGUAGCAAGUUGCCAGCAACUGCCAACGCAUACACAAUGAAGCAGUAA